UACUUCUUCUUCUACUAUUCUCCUAAUUUCUCUUGUUAGGGAUCCAAAACCCUAACAGAUUUAUUGAUUUUAACGUUCUGAAAAUUUUAUUUUAUUACUGAUGUGUCAUUUGAUUGGCCAAUCAAAAUGAGAUAAAUUAGGAAAAUAUGUAUUCCGUUUGUACAAUGAGAAUUAUUUAUUUUACAUGUAUCAGGUUUUAAGUCUAGAAGCAUCAUUUCCUCUCGUGGGCAGCGUUGAUACUUUGGGUAGAGAGUCCAAUUUUUGUGGCCAUCCCAUCAAGCACGAGGUACAUCAUGGGAUAAUGGCUGCUAAAGUGGGGAAUAUGGCACUAUGACAUGUUCGCGGGAAUUCAGAGUCGGUUCACUAGAGCUGAAAAACACUCUUGCGGACAUAUUACCAUUUCCUGUCGUAAGAGACAAAGACAUUCCUUGAAGGUCAAGACCCACAAGAAACUAGUCUUCUUCUUUUUUUUUUUUUUUUUUUCAAAAAGAAACAAGUUGUCGUCAGGCCUGCUUGGGAAAAGGGUACGAGAUUAUUUCUAGGGUAAGAAAAGGAAAUUGCCCUUUCAGGAGUUGAGAACCUAUGGCAUGCUUCCAUGACUUGGCCAUCCAUUACUGAAAACACCUGUUGGUGAACCUGUCCGAUUCCAAGGUCAUAUGAGUAAGAAUGAAUUGAUGUGGUUA